GAAACUGCGAAUGGCUCAUUAAAUCAGUUAUGGUUCCUUUGGUCGCUCGCUCCUCUCCUACUUGGAUAACUGUGGUAAUUCUAGAGCUAAUACAUGCCGACGGGCGCUGACCCCCUUCGCGGGGGGGAUGCGUGCAUUUAUCAGAUCAAAACCAACCCGGUCAGCCCCUCUCCGGCCCCGGCCGGGGGGCGGGCGCCGGCGGCUUUGGUGACUCUAGAUAACCUCGGGCCGAUCGCACGCCCCCCGUGGCGGCGACGACCCAUUCGAACGUCUGCCCUAUCAACUUUCGAUGGUAGUCGCCGUGCCUACCAUGGU
rnacentral:rRNA from 1 species